rnacentral:rRNA from 2 species
GGACGUCCCCUUCGGGGGCAGAGUGACAGGUGGUGCAUGGUUGUCGUCAGCUCGUGUCGUGAGAUGUUGGGUUAAGUCCCGCAACGAGCGCAACCCUUGAUCUUAGUUGCCAGCAUUCAGUUGGGCACUCUAAGGUGACUGCCGGUGACAAACCGGAGGAAGGUGGGGAUGACGUCAAAUCAUCAUGCCCCUUAUGACCUGGGCUACACACGUGCUACAAUGGACAGAACAAAGGGCAGCGAAACCGCGAGGUUAAGCCAAUCCCACAAAUCUGUUCUCAGUUCGGAUCGCAGUCUGCAACUCGACUGCGUGAAGCUGGAAUCGCUAGUAAUCGCGGAUCAGCAUGCCGCGGUGAAUACGUUCCCGGGUCUUGUACACACCGA